CACAGACUCACAGUGGUUCACCGCAAGGCUCUCGCUCUUCCGAAAAUUUCAGAGCUUAUAAUUAAUUAUCUAUAGAGAAAAUAAAUAGCAAACUUUUCCCAAAAGAGCUAAUGAAAUUUUGAAGAAAAAAAAAAAAAACAUAGACACUCUCGAGAACUUUCAAAAGGCGCGUUAAUUGGGGAAUUUGUAUCUAUGUGAAAAGAAUUUUUAUUACCACCUAUAUUAUAGAAUUGUUCCUGAAAAAGUAAACUAUGUCAAGGAAAUUAAACGUGUAAAAAGCUGUCAAGCGCUCAACUCGUUCGCUUAACACUGUCCUCUUUUUCUCCGGUAAGUGGUACACGCGAAAAAUAUAGAGAAAAAAAAAAUUAAGAGACAGAAUAAGCACUCGUCAAAGGGUACGAGACAUCAGUUAUACAAUAUAAUGAGAAAAGAAUUCGAUAGAUGAUGAAAAAAAAACUCAUUCAUUAGUUAAAUCACAUCCAAUCGAGCGCGUGGCUUCAUAGUCAUCCCGCAUAUGUAACCUGAGUAGGUGUACCAUGGAUACGAAUUAUAUUAUGUUUGAUAAGAAAAAGAAAAAAUUUAUUGCAUUCCUGUUUUGGAAGAAAUGAUAAUUUUAUCGGUUAUCUCAGUUAUUGGGGGAGGUAUUCAAGUACAUAACAUGUAUAUGUAUAUACAAUAUAUUUUAGAAUGUAGACAGUCGCUGAUCCCAUUCCAAAUGCCAAAAACGACGAGUGAAAAAAACGUCGCAGAUUAUUCGUCGGUGCGAAACUGCAGCUUAAGGAGUCUGGAAAAGUAAUUAAAAAUGGCGUACACAAUACGAUAGAGAACAUACACGUAUGUAUAUGGAGGACGGUGCACUCCAUGAAGAGGUGGUUUUAUAUUUGGCUACAGCUAUUGAUGUGAUCGAAGAUCACAUCAGAUCGGAUCAGAUCGGAUGCUGUAUGCCAUGGUGCAAGAGCACCACUAUAUACUGGACACAGUUCAGCACGUGCACAGAUUAUCUGCGUGUGCCAAUCACUUAACGUGCAGGACAAACACAGGUGGGAAAUUUGCGGGGAUACGAUCGAACGAAUGCAUCGCAUUGUAUUCGUCUGUUGAAAAUCGAUCAACCGCCUUCGCAACCACUUAAUGUACGUGCAUAUCAAACACAAUUUACAUAACGCACAUAAAUAUACACCUAACGUAUACAUACAUGUACAUUUGCCAACAUCGGUAUGUAAGAAGAAAUUCGUUUCUCUACUUUUAUAUUCGUAGAAGAAUAACAUAGGUAUACAUGCGUGAUAAUUAUACCUACUGAAACUUGAGAUAAUUGGAAAGGAAUUUCAUUUUUGGUUCUCCUAUUUUAUGUCCAUUAAUAUCUUUUUUUUAGUGUUUUAUAUAUCAACUCGAUGUAUUGGUUUGCGAAAUUAAAUUUCAUUUUCUUUUCUUCUUUUUCUAUUUUUAUUCCUAUGAAACCGGCGCGACGAUUUGAAUCAAAUUUGAUCUCCGAAUUCCAAAUAUAUAACGGAAUUAUUAUCGUAUCGACUAAUAACAGUACAAUUGAGCGAGAAAAAAUUUCUCGACUUGUAAGAUUAUUCUAUUUACAUAUACCAUUUCGUGUUAAAGGUAGACGGAAAAUGGAGCCAAUGAAAGAUCUUAAAAAAAGUCGAAGGCCUGGAAAUUGAAGCUUUUCAACCCCUACGCGCGCCAAAUAUGGUACACAUUUCGGACCAUUGAUAUUAUUCUUCUAAAUUCGAAUGUCGUAUCAGAUUAAAAAUUGAAAUCGUUCGAUUGAUUCUAACGGUAAACGUAUGCGUAUUAUACAAUAAUUUUGAUAUUCCAUGUGUGCCGCGUGUACAGCUGAAUAACAUGUCACGUAUGAUGUACAUAUGCUUGUAUGUAUUUUAUUUAUAUAUUGGUGUUCCACGUGAAUACCGAAGGUCCAUUGGGUUGGAAGUUGUAAGACAAUACCUCGAGGCUCGGGAGGGACGUGGGCGGUAUCGGAUCCGAAUUAAGAAUUUGAUCCUCAUUCAUUCCACAUAUAUAUACGUAUCCUACACGAGCAACGGCAACAGCAAAAGCAACAGCAGCCAUCAGUUAGAACCAGUUGACCAGCGUGUCUUAUAUCUGUAAAAAUAGAAGGUGGAGGUGGCGCUGGACGGUGUGGCUGACUUCCUCUUCCUGUUCGCAUCGGAACUACAGUCAGGUGUCAGAAAACAGGCGCUGAGCUCCGGUCCCAAAACCGAACCCCGAACGAGCCUGAGCUCUCCUCUGUCAGCUCACGCUACAUAAUACCUACUCAACCAGCUCUUCCGAUAGGCCAUACACAGGUGUGUGUAUAUUGGCAAAACGGAAACUGAAAUUAUCAUGCUACACAAAUUUUUUAUUAACAAAAUUGAUCAGCUUUCAUUCAGAGAGGGUUUGUGAAACAGGGGGAUGUCUUUUCAAAAAUCUUGGUACCACAUGAUAUCUAAGGACAGGACAGAGAUACUUCCUCUCGAAUUGUCGAGGAGAGAUAAUUUUUAGAUAUAUCCAAACUUUCUUCUAUCUUCCAACGUGUGUUGGCAGAUAUUUGAAAUUGUAAAAUUCGAAAUGGCACAUCCGAUACAGUAGGGGUGUAGUUCGAAACGAAAAUUAUCCGCAUGAAAUUCUUAAUGGAAUGUAGAGUAUGUAGAAUUUUGUAUAAAUUCAUUAAUUAUACAUCACUUUUUGAGU